rnacentral:rRNA from 1 species
CCCUACGGGGGGCAGCAGUGAGGAAUAUUGGUCAAUGGCCGAGAGGCUGAACCAGCCAAGUCGCGUGAGGGAAGAAUGUCCUAAGGAUUGUAAACCUCUUUUGUCGGGGAGCAAAAAGGCUCUGCGGAGUCGUAUUGAGAGUACCCGAAGAAAAAGCUCCGGCUAACUACGUGCCAGCAGCCGCGGUAAUACGUAGGGAGCGAGCGUUGUCCGGAUUUACUGGGUGUAAAGGGUGCGUAGGCGGGUAAGCAAGUCAGAAGUGAAAUCCAUGGGCUUAACCCAUGAACUGCUUUUGAAACUGUUUU